AUGGGUAUUGAAGACCAUGAAAAUUUUGAAACCAAAAAAAUUAUCCUAAGUACCGAACAUGAUGUGGAUUUUAAAGUAAAGCUGUACAAUGCUCAGAGUGUAACCCAUUUUGGUUGCAAAAAUUGGGAUGCAUUUUGCAAGAUGUAUGGUCUUGAUGAGGGUAUGCUUGUCACCAUGGAUCUUGGUGAUCCUACAAUCGAGCAAGAGACACCUACGAUUUGGGUCUUUGUGGAUACACCUCCAGUUCUUCCCUCAUCUUAUUUUCAUUCUUCAAAGAAUGUGCGGAAGAUGGUAGACAGAACGUACUACACCGAAGGCUGCGAAUUAACUUAUCAGGAGAAACGACAUCUGGUCGGAUUUUGUAGAGAUCUUGAGAAUUACAAUAUCUACAAUCAAACUCCUCAACAUUAUGGUCAAUACGUGCCACUAGUGCACGUGUUGAACUACAGUAACUACCAUGGAGAUACCUUGAUAAUCCCGAAUGAUUGUGUGCCUCAUCUGAUGUAUACGCGUGGUAGCCUUCAUGUUUUGAACAUACUACCAGGUCGUCCUACGAAUCUCAACUGUCCAUACCGGGUUUCUAAAAGAAGUGGAGACAUAAGAAUUAAAGAAUGGAAAAAAUGUAUGGACAAUCGUAAGGAGCUUCUUGGAAGCAAUAAGCAGCGAAAGGCAAGAAUUGGAGACAGGAUGAUCGCCAUUCUUCAUAAUGGAGAGUCAGGGUCUAUAUUGUUUUACGCUAUUUUACCUUAA
rnacentral:rRNA from 1 species